AAAUAAGAAACAAAUCUUUGUAAUUAGUUUCGACCUAAUCUUUGACUAUUAAAGUCCUUAUUUU
rnacentral:tRNA from 1 species